GGUAGCCUAGUGGUUAGAGUGUAGAGGUGGCAGGGUAGCCUAGUGGUUAGAGUGUAGAGGUGGCAGGGUAGCCUAGUGGUUAGAGUGUAGAGGUGGCAGGGUAGCCUAGUGGUUAGAGUGUAGGGGCGGCAGGGUAGCCUAGUGGUUAGAGUGUAGAGGUGGCAGGUAGCCUAGUGGUUAGAGUGUAGGGGCGGCAGGGUAGCCUAGUGGUUAGAGUGUAGGGGCGGCAGGGUAGCCUAGUGGUUAGAGUGUAGGGGCGGCAGGGUAGCCUAGUGGUUAGAGUGUUGGACUACUUAUCGGAAGGUU
ensembl:lncRNA